UCAAACCGAACAGAAAAGCGGUUUAUAUGGUUUGGUUUGGUUUAGAAUAUAUAAAAAUUACGGUUUUCGGUUUCGGUUUGGUUUUAAGGCUCGGUCACCGAACCGAACCGAAAAAACCGAAAUAAUAAAGAAGGGUUAUCUUGGUCAUUUAAGUAAGAUAGUAUAUAUACUCUUUUUAAGCAAAAACCCUAAUGUCAUUAUCUGCCGCUCACUCAAACUCUCACCCUCACCCAAACUCUUUCUUUUUCCCCCUUUUUCUCUUAUUUUCUUUUCUCUUUUCCAUCGAUCUUCUUAAUUAUUAACCCAAAUUAAGCCUAAAACCCUAACACUGAGAUGGGUUUUGUUUUGUUUCUCAAUCUUAUCAUCUUCCCUUAUUUCCCUAGCCGAUUCUUAAUGCUAAUUCACAGAGAUGUAACCGAUGCUAUAGUGAUUCCUUUGAAGAAAAAUAUGAGAUUAACAAGGACCAUCAUCUGCAUCUGGAGCAAAGUAGAAAUGGAAAUUAAUCAAGCUAAUUUUAUUUCUUAAUUUUAAGAUGUAAAUUAGAAAAUGUUAAACAAUAUCAAAAUAUCAGUUUAUGUAAUAAAGUAAUUUUUCAUUUA